GCCUGUGGUCCCAGCUACUCUGGAAACUAAGGAGGAUCACUGAAGCCCAGGAGGUUGAGGCUGUGGUGAGCUAUGAUCGCUACACUGCACUCCAGCCUGGACGACAGAGUGAGACUCUGUCUCUAAAUAAAUAAAUAAAUAAAUAAGAGCUUGGCUGGAAAAUUCAUGGAAUCAGAGAAGAAAACUGCUAUUUAUUAGAUAAACUAUAGAGAUCUGGGAUCUGAGCACACGAUUACACUUCUGUAAGACAAAAGAAACCUACUAAACAUGAAAGCAAGAAAUCACUGAAAGGCCAGGUGUGGUGCUCACACCUGUAAUCCCAGCACUUUGGGAGGCCGAGGCCGGUGCAUCACUUGAGGUCAGGAGUUCAAGACCAACCUGGCCAGCAUGGCAAAACCCUGUGUCUAUUAAAAAUACAAAAAUGAGCUGGGCAUGGGGGUGCACACCUGUAAUCUCAGCUACUUGGGAGGCUGAAGCAGGAGAAUCAGUUGAACCCAGGAGGCAGAGGUUGCAGCGAGCCGAGAUCAUGCCACUGCACUCCAGCCUGGCAACAGAGUGAGACUCUGUCUCAAAAAAAAAAAAAAAGAAAGAAAAAGAAAUCACCAAAGGCCAUUUAGCCUGUUGAAAUCCAGUGAUUGCAUUUCCCCCUACCAAUUAGACCAGGGAUGCUGGGGGCUCAGCCACACAGCCUGUAAAGUGGGCCGGGGGAGGGGGAGGCACAGAAGAGAUGAGGAGGGAAAAGGAAAAUGGACAAAACCAAGUGGAGGAGGGAAGACUGGGGCGGAGGGGACAUGGGAUGCCAUCACAGAGCCAUCAAGUCUUGGCUGUCCCAAAAUCUUGGACCAGUUGAGCAUCCCCGUAGCUCAGGGAUAUUGUUGAAGUGUUUUUAAUUAUCUGUGUUUUCAGUACCUUGGCCCCAACAUAGAAUGUGAUCCAACAAGUGUCAGAAUAACCAAUUCUCUGUUCUUCAGACCCAGACACUUUUGAACCCCAAAAAUUCUUCCAGACGUCAGGCCUCUCCAAGAUGUCAGCCAGUCAGGUGAAGGAUGUUUUCCGGUUCAUAGACAACGACCAGAGCGGGUACCUGGAUGAAGAAGAGCUUAAGUUUUUCCUCCAGAAGUUUGAGAGUGGUGCCAGAGAACUGACCGAGUCAGAAACCAAGUCCUUGAUGGCUGCGGCAGAUAAUGAUGGAGAUGGGAAAAUUGGAGCAGAGGGUAUGUCCACACGUGUACGUAGCAUAAAACACUCUAGCUCAGGAAGCAUCCAUGAGGGCUUGGGCUGUGAGAUCAAACCAAUGUGGCUUAAAAUCUCCCUUUC
rnacentral:lncRNA from 1 species